GCGUAUGUAGUUCAAUGGAAGAAUUCCAGCCUUCUGAGCUGGCGGCAUGGGUUCGAUUCCCGUCAAACGCU
rnacentral:tRNA from 1 species